ensembl:lncRNA
GGAGAAGUCUUCCAAGUCACUGUAUAAAAGCUCCCAGUGAAAAGGAGCUUCUGGGCCUACAUAUCACUGCUCCCAGCAAAGAGGAGAAAGCUUCCAGGCCACUGCAACCCCACUCCCCACAUGGAGGAGGCUUUUGUGCCACUGUACCCAUGCUCCCAGUCAGAAGGAGGUUUCUGGGCCACUGUUCCACCACUCCCAGCAUGGAGGAGGCUUCCAAACUGACUUAGACAUACUCUCAGUGAAGAGGAGGAUGCUUUCAGUCUGGAUUACCCCAGCUCCCAUGAUGGAGGAGGCUUCUGGGCUGCUGCCCUGCUGCUCCCAUAGUGGAGGAGGCAUUCCAUACACUUUGUUGCCAAUCCCAGCUCAUAGGAGCCUUCCAAACUGGCUCAUACCUUCUCACAGAGAAAAGAAUUACCCUUUUGGUCCACCAUACCACCUCUCCACUGCAAAGGUGGCUUCCAGGCUGCUGCCCCACCACUCCCAUAGUGGAGGAGGCCACCGGGAUGCCAAACUGCCACUCCCAACUCAUAGGAGUCUUCUGAACUUGCUCAGAACUGCUUGCACACAGAAGGCUUCUAGGCUGAAGCAGCACCACUCCCAUAGUGGAGGUGGCCUCUGGGCCACUAUACCACCAGUCCCAGCUCACAGGAGGCUUCUGAACUGGCAUGGAACUGCUCCCAGUGAAGAGGAGAAUGAAUACAGACUCCUGUACCAGAACUCCCAGCAAGGAGGAGGCUUCCAGGCUGUCACCCCUCCGUUCCCAUAGUGGAGGAGGCAUCCAGGCUGCCAUACUGCCACUCCCAUCUUGUAGCAGGCUUCCAAAAUGGCACAGAACCACUAGAGUGAAGAGGAGGACACUUUUGGUUGACACAAGCACAGCUCCCACCACCAAGGAGGCUUCUGGUCUGCCAUCCCACCACUCCCACAUUGGAUUGGUUUCUGGCCUCUGUAGAGGUGCUCCCAGCUCAUAGGAGGAUUCUGAACUGGCAUAGCACCGAUCCCAGUGAAGAGGAGGAUGCUUUGAGUCCACUGUACCACAGCUCCCAGCUCAGAGGAUGCUUUCAGGGUGCCACCCCUCUACUCCCAAAAGAGAGGAGGCUUACCAGCCACAGAAGCACUGCUCCCAAUUUAUAGGAGGCUUCUGAACUAGCAUAGCACCACUCCCAGUGAAGAGGAGGAGGCUUCUGGGUGACCAUACAACUGCUCCCAGCAUGGAGGAGGGUUCCUGGCAGCCUUCCCACUGCUCACUGUGUGGAUGAGGCUUCUGGGCCUCCAUACCAGCACUCCAAGCUCAGAGGAGGACUCUGGACUGCUGCCCCACUGCUCCCAGCCCAGAGGAGGUUUCUGUUUAGCCAUACAGCCUCUCGCAGGACAGAGGAGGAUUCUGGGCCACUGUACCAGCACUCUGAGGUCAGAUGAGGCCUUUGGGCCACCAUGUCACCACUCCCAGCAAAGAGGAGUUUUCCAUGCCAUCAUACUGCCACUCCCAGUUCAGAGGAGGUUUCUGGACAGCCGUACCAUUGCUCCCAAUGUGGAGGAGGCUUCUGGGUCACUGUACCACUACUCCAAGAAUGAAGAGGCAUCCAGGCCACCGUACCACCCCUCCCAGUGCAGAGGAGGCUUCUUGGCCAUGGUACCACAGCUCCCAGCACAGAGGAACCUUCUGCAUCACCAUACCACCACUUCAAAUGUGGAAUAGGCUACUGAGAUGCAAUACCAUCACUCCCAGCACAGAGAAGACUUCUGGGCCACUGUACUGCUGCUCCAAGCAUGGAGCAGGAUUCCAGUCUGGCACAACACCACUCCCAGCAAAGAGGAGGAGACUUCCAGGGUGCACUAUCACCACUCCCAGAAAAGAGGAGGCUUCCAGACUGGUGUAGCACUGCUCCCAGUGUAGAAGGGAAGGCUUCUGGGCCACUGUACCAGUGCUCCCAGAACAUGGGAGGUGUCCAGGCUGCUGUGCUGCUACUCCCAGUGUGGAGCAGGCUUCUGAGCCACUGUACUGCUGAUCCCAGCACAGAGGAUGAAUCCUAGGCUGGCAUAGCAUCACUCCCAGUAUGCAGGAGGCUUCCUGACUGGCAUAACACACCUUCCAGAGAAGUGGAAGAGGCUUGUGCUCUGCUGUCCCACUGCUCCCAGUGAGAAGGAGGCUUAUGGGCCAGCAUGUCACUGCUCCCAGCAAAGAGGAGAAUGCUUUCAGGCCACUGCAACUCCACUCCCCAUGUGGAGGAGGCUUUCAUUGCACCAUACCCAUGCUCCCAGCCAGGAGGAGGCUACAGAACUGAUUUAGAACUGCUCCCAGUGAAGAGUGUUGCACCCAGUGAGAAAAAACCAACCAGAGACUGAUAUUAAAUCCACACAGGAGUUUAUUACUGGCUGGGACCCAAGCCAAACAUCAGACUCAAGCCCCAACUGGAGGGAGACAAACAUGUUUUAUACGCCUUUGAGGCCAGCAGUUUCUAGGCCCCCCUAUGGGAUAGAACUAGUAAAGCAAGCAAAAGGUACAGAAGUGGAACAUCCUGCUGUUAGAACAUUUGUAAAACAAUAGUCAAUUAAUUGUUAUUUCUAAAGGGACCUUUCUAAGGGGAGGAGGUUUCUAAGCUUCCUCCUUCUGAGUUCAUCUAAAGAGCAAGCAGGUGGUUCAAGCAGCAAUAUGGAGUCUGUCUUGCUAACUAGGAUCUUUCAAAGAGGAUGAUGGUUUCAGUCCAGAUUACCAUAGCUCCCAUGAUGGAGGAGGCUUCUGGGCUGCCAUCCUGCUGCUCCCAUAGUGGAGGAGGCUUCCAGGCUGACAUACUGCUGCUCCCAGCUUGAAGGAGGCUUCCAAACUGGCAUAGAACCACUCCCAGCAAAGAGAAAGAUGAUUUUGGUCUGCCAUACCACAGCUCCCAUCAUGGAGAAGACUUCCGGGCUGAGAGAGCACCACUGUCAUAGUGGAGGUGGCCUCCAGGCCACUGUACCACUGCUCCCAGAACAUAGAAAGCUUCAAAACUAACUUAUAACCACUCCCAGCAAAGAGGAGGAGGCUUUCAGUCCCCAGUACCACAGCUCCCACCACAGAGGAGUCUUCUGGGAUGCUGUCCAGCUGCUCUCACAGUGGAGGAGGCUUCCAAGCAGAUGUACUGCCACUCCUAGCUCGUAGGAGGAUUUUGAACUGGAAUAGCACUGAUCCCAGCUAAGAGGCAGAGGCAUUCAGUCUGCCGUACCAGACCCCCCAGCGUGGAGGAGGCUUCAGGGCUGCUCCCCCACUGUUCUCAUUGUGGAAGAGGCUUCCAGGCCACCAUACAGCCACUCUGACCUCAUAGGAGGCUUCUCGACUGGCAUGGCACCACUACUAGUGAAGAGGAGGACACUUUCCGUCCACUGUACCAAAGCU